UGACAGUUCAAAAUCUAGAUUCUAGAUUUUUCACAAUUUACGGCUAAGGAGCAGCUUCAGAAUGUUUCAAUAAUGUCUGGUGUUUGCUUUUGCUGUCCAGUUUUAAUGAUUUACCAUUUGCCACGCUUUUCCGAAUUCUUAAUUGUGCCAACGACCAAUCUUCAUGGUUUAGAGCUUCUUAGUGCUGGCACAAGCCGAAUGUCGGUAAUUACAGCUGGAGGUUAAAAAUUAAAAGAGCUGAUCUGUCAAUGAAGGCUUCUGAUGAAUCCAAUGGGCUCAUGCUGAUGAGUGAAAUUCUGGGUGGCUCUUCUGACAGGCCUGCAUAAACUUUAACUGAUACCUCAGAAACGUACACUAAGUUGUUUCUCCUUUUCACUGCAACAGGUGUGUCAUGUAAAUUGAUAAAAUUCAAAAUUGGUAUCUACAAUAUACAGAGUAUUUUCAGGAAAUAAAUCAUUUUUAUGCAUAGACUAAAAGUCAAGAAAUUUUGUGGUGAUAUUUUCUAAAACUACUGUUUUGCUAACAUUAUAUGAGGUGCUUCAGUCUUCUGACUAGGGAUUUAUCACAAAAUAACAGUAUACUUAGGGGAAAAAUGACAUAUUACACAGGAAGAGAACACAUAUACUUACAGCAAGUAAACAAAUCGUUCAUUUGUUAGAAUUUCAUUGAUUUUUAGUUGUAAUCAACUGAAAAUGCCAUAUAUGACUAAGAGAAAAUAUCCAUUUUAUUUGACAACUUUUAUUUUUAGCCCCUACACUAUUUAUGGAGAAAGCAUCUGUUGUUUUCACAAUAUUACUGUAUUUGUAAUAUUCCUAUAUGGCUCUACAUCUGAGGGAGUCCAGAAGUCCUUUACAAUUAUUUAUAAUAUUUACUUAAUGAAACAAAAAGAGUGGAUUUUAAAAAGAUGUAUUUCAAAAAGGUCAGCAGCUAACUUUACCUAAAACCAGUUGGCUACCUUAAGCCACUACUAAAUUGAAACAGUAAUUUUAAUGAGUACAUAAAAUACCAUUUAUUUUCUCUUACUCGGCACAGGUAUUUAGCUGGAAUUACAACAGGUCUUAAGUCUAGUUUUUCAUAGUUUCCAUAAAAUGUUUCUGUGUCCUUAGAAGUUUGUAUAUACGUCUGUGGUGGGUGCAGAAGGCAUCCGUGCUUUGCUGGUGACAACGCUCACCUGGAAGUACCGGACAGCUUGCUUGGCAGCACCGGAAGGCAUGGCUGGGUACUCCACCCUGCAGCCACAACCAGGUCGCGGUGCCCUGUGGAUGCUCCUGUGCUGUGUCUUGGCUCAGCUCCUGAGGCCUCAUGGCACAAAUACCUUGUUUUGUGGACUUAAUCGAGCCUCAGUACAGGGUAAUCAGGUACACACUAUCAACAGGCUAAUAUCAGUUUACAAGGCCAAACCUUAACGCAUGUCUUCUUUUACCAUGGAAAUAGUAUCCUGUUGGUAAAAACCCCACUGUGCAAUGUAGUAGUGUAGAUCACUGAACCAAAACAAGUCUCAGAAACCCAUGGGUAAAAUAUUCUCUAUUUAAGAGAAUCAGUUACAAAAUUGGUUUAAAAAGAAUAAUAUAAAUUCAGAUUUCUGCUAGAAAGAGAUGAAAAGUGUAAGCAGCACUCAGAGCAUACUUUUAAUACAUUGAUCAUAUAUAUUCCUGCUACUUACGUGUCUAUAUUUUAACAAAUUUCUCAUGCAAAGAGAAGUUUUGAACGUGGAAAAGAAGAAACUCCGGAAAUGCCUUAAAAUUAAGGAUUUCCCAACAAAAGACACUUUCAAAUCAAGCCCUUUUUGUCCUGUUGUAUUAGCAGGCUUAAGCUUUUCCUGGCUCAGUCUUCUAACUUAUGAAUCCCAAUAGUGGGCUUAUAAAUAUGUACUUAACUGAAAAGGGAACUCUGUGUUCAACAUACUGUUGUUGAUAUUAGAACUGGGUAUUGGGUGAAAACACCCAAGCUAUUUUUUCGUCUGACCUUAUUAUUUUUCUAUAUGGUGUACUGCUAGGUGCCUAAAAGUUAUUUUCCCAUCUGUUUCAAUAGAUUUGUUUAAAAAAAACCAAAACAACAACAACAAAACAAUAAAAAAACCAAAUGAACAAGCCAAACGAAAAAAAAAAACACUGUUAAAAGUUCUCAUAGAAAUUAUUCCAUGCAAUGACCUGUUACAUUGUUUAGUCGAUAUUUUCCUUCCUGUCGAAUUUCUUAUCUUAGAACCUAUCAAAUUUAAAUUAGAAUUAAUUAAAUCUAGAAUUCCAGUUCUGGUUUUAUACUGCAUUUUCUUAGCUUCCAUAUCUUACUGUUAGCUCAUGUUCUACUUUGCUAGAUGGAAAGAUCUUCCUAAGCAGGGAUUUACAGAACAGGUAUCCUCUUAACUUGAGGACUAACAUGAUUUCCAGAGCUCAGCUCAUUCCUGAAGCGUGUUUCUGAGACCUCUUCAGUUUUCUUUUGCUCCUUCUGAAGUGCAGACAGCGGAAAUGUACACAGCAGUUUUCUCAUCAGUGCUGUACAGAGAUGUCUCCUUACAGAACAGUGUUUUGCUUGUAUACCUGGGAAAUAUUAGGGUCACGGGGUCAUACUGGCAAUUCACAGCAAUUCUUUACAAAGGUGCUCGUCUAAAAUACCCUCUUUUAACGUGACAAGACUUAUAUGAAUUUCCUGUCUUGCUUAAAAUUAAAUGUGCACUCAUGCAUUUCCCUAAAAUGUGGAAUAGAUUUAGCAGCACAAUAAAAUGCCCUCUGUUAUCCUCCCUUACUAUCUUAGACAGGGUUUUACACAGCAAAAUAACUGUGCUUUCAGGGCCAUAAAAGAGAAAUAAACCAGAAAAGGUUGCAGAAAGAAAAAAUGUUAAGUUAGCACCUCAAAGAUGUGUUUUCUUAUUGUUUUCUUUUUCUACCUCCAUCGCUGUUCUUUUUCUUAGAUCCAAUUAGAUCUAAUAGCUGACGAUGGAUAGAAUGGCAUUGUGUCCUCAACACCGCUAUGGAAAUAAAACGAAUCACGGAAAUAUUUUCUUCAGGCCAAAAAAAAUGGAGCAGCAGAGCAUUGUCAAAGAGCUACCUUUCCUGUCACUGAUAAAAAGAACAGGGAAAGUCUCAACAGGGUUUUCUCUUGUUGCUUCUUAAGUUCAGCAGAGCAAGGAAAGAAUAGGAAGCACACUGUGCACUUGAAGUCACAAGACAUGCAGAAGGGAGGAGAGGAAAAUUGUAGGAAGCACACUUCAGAGACAUCAGUACAACACAAGCGAGAGAUACAUCCAAAUGUUUAAAUCGUAUGUAACUGGUAGUCUGUCGGUAACACUCGUAUACUGUCUUCAGCUAAGCAAUUCCCCAAUACUUAAAGCUCUCAAAAUUCCAGUAAAACCAAG